rnacentral:rRNA from 1 species
GACGAACGCUGGCGGCGUGCUUAACACAUGCAAGUCGAACGGAAAGGCCCUGCUUUUGUGGGGUGCUCGAGUGGCGAACGGGUGAGUAACACGUGAGUAACCUGCCCUUGACUUUGGGAUAACUUCAGGAAACUGGGGCUAAUACCGGAUAGGAGCUCCUGCUGCAUGGUGGGGGUUGGAAAGUUUCGGCGGUUGGGGAUGGACUCGCGGCUUAUCAGCUUGUUGGUGGGGUAGUGGCUUACCAAGGCUUUGACGGGUAGCCGGCCUGAGAGGGUGACCGGCCACAUUGGGACUGGGAUACGGCCCAGACUCCUACGGGAGGCAGCAGUGGGGAAUAUUGCACAAUGGGCGGAAGCCUGAUGCAGCAACGCCGCGUGCGGAAUGACGGCCUUCGGGUUGUAAACCGCUUUCGCCUGUGACGAAGCGUGAGUGACGGUACUGGGUAAAGAAGCACCGGCUAACUACGU